rnacentral:rRNA from 1 species
GACGAACGCUGGCGGCGUGCCUCAUACAUGCAAGUGGAGCGACGAACCAGGGCUUUGCCCUGGGGCUAAGCCGCGAACGGGUGAGUAACACGUGGGUAACCUGCCCCGAAGACCGGGACAACCCGAGGAAACUCGGGCUAAUACCGGAUGUGCUCGCCGCGCACAAGCGCGGCGCGUAAAGGAAGCUUCGGCCUCCGCUUUGGGAGGGGCCCGCGGCCCAUUAGCUUGUUGGUGAGGUAACGGCUCACCAAGGCUGCGAUGGGUAGCUGGUCUAAGAGGACGGUCAGCCACACUGGGACUGAGACACGGCCCAGACUCCUACGGGAGGCAGCAGUAGGGAAUCUUGCGCAAUGCGCGAAAGCGUGACGCAGCAACGCCGCGUGGGGGAAGAAGGCCUUCGGGUUGUAAACCCCUUUCAGGAGGGACGAAGGUGCGGCGGCGAACAGCCGUCCGUACUGACGGUACCUCCAGAAGAAGCCCCGGCUAACUACGUGCCAGCCGCCGCCGUAAAAC